rnacentral:rRNA from 1 species
UUUUAUCAUAGCUUGCUAUGAUAAAAAUUAGUGGCAGACGGGUGAGUAAUGCAUAGGAAUCUACCUAGUAGUAUGGGAUAGCCACUAGAAAUGGUGGGUAAUACUGUAUAAUCCCUGCGGGGGAAAGAUUUAUCGCUAUUAGAUGAGCCUAUGUUAGAUUAGCUAGUUGGUAGGGUAAAGGCCUACCAAGGCAGUGAUCUAUAGCUGGUCUGAGAGGAUGAUCAGCCACACUGGAACUGAGAUACGGUCCAGACUCCUACGGGAGGCAGCAGUGGGGAAUAUUGGACAAUGGGCGCAAGCCUGAUCCAGCUAUGCCGCGUGAGUGAGGAAGGCCUUAGGGUUGUAAAACUCUUUCAGUGGGGAAGAUAAUGACGGUACCCACAGA